GCAAAAGACAUGGUAAAUUAUCAGCUAUAGAUUCAUCUUCCCUCUCUCCUAGGAGCUGCUUUCUGAGAAGCAUUUAAUUGUCUUGGCGCCAAGCAAACCGGGAGCAACGUGCUUCGUGUAUGACUUCAUUCAUCCUCAAUUGCUGAAGAUCCUCACGGCUGUUUGUGUGUGUGAGACCAGGGCGAGGCUGUGUCAGGAGGGCUCAGGUCCAGAACAAGCCACUGCAGCUGAGUUUCAGCAGGAGAGUUAUUGUAGGAUACUCAGCAGUUUACAGCACUACUUGUGUAAGGGCUGAAGAAACAGACGCAGGUUCAGGAGUGAUUCCCGAAGCUACACCUCAGAACCUGGCCGCCACGGAAGCUGCCGCCUCUCCUCGGGUCUGGAAGCCUCCAGCCCUGAAAGCCUCCAUCGGGCCCGGAAGCCACACCUGCUCUCCCGGCUCCAACCCAAGUCGCAUCGUGGGGACUGGCAGCUGCAUGCGGGCGCCCGCCUCCCCACCUCCUCCCAGCUGCCGGCUUGUCCUGGGCUCCCCGUGGAGUGGGGAGACCAUGGCUGCCUGGCACAGAGGGGCGUCCACCUCACCUAGGCCCCAGCGCCUGCAAAUCAGACCCAGAUCCCUAACGGCAAUGGGGCUGGAGAAGGAGACUCUUUUUUUUUUUAAUAAAUUUAUUUAUGUAUUUA